GCUAUCCUCCCACUUUGGCCUCCCAAAGCACUGGGAUUACAGCCUCUUCUAGCCACACCACAGUCCGGUGGCUCAUUUAUGUCCUGGCCAUGUCUGUGCCAGGCUCCAGCUGGAACAGGGACCAGUGAUGAAUUAGACAUGGGCCUGGCCUUCAGGAGCUCACAGCAAACUCAGUGAGAGAGAUGUGUAAGGAGCUGAAACAGAAUCUUGCCCAGCCAGAUGAGAAGCAGCAGCACCAUCUGGACUGUGUUUAAUCAGCAGGAGGCCAUGAGACAAAUGCCAGGAAGGAGGCUCUCAAGCUUCCAGACAUAAAGGAAUGGAGCAGAGUCAAGGGCAGUAUUUCAGGCUGCAGCAGAAGCAGGAAGCGAAGACAUGUGGCUGUGAUAGCAGGUGUGUGCUGUUGGAUGAUGCUGGCGCUACUGCAGUUUGACAUUGCUGAAGAGGAAGGUGGA
rnacentral:lncRNA from 1 species